rnacentral:tRNA from 1 species
GGUUCUAUAGUGUAGCGGUUAUCACUUCGGAUUCUGAUUCCGGCGACCCCGGUUCGAGUCCGGGUAGGACCU